rnacentral:rRNA from 1 species
GAUGAACGCUGGCGGCGUGCCUAAUACAUGCAAGUCGAGCGAACGGACGAGAAGCUUGCUUCUCUGAUGUUAGCGGCGGACGGGUGAGUAACACGUGGAUAACCUACCUAUAAGACUGGGAUAACUUCGGGAAACCGGAGCUAAUACCGGAUAAUAUUUUGAACCGCAUGGUUCAAAAGUGAAAGACGGUCUUGCUGUCACUUAUAGAUGGAUCCGCGCUGCAUUCGCUAGUUGGUAAGGUAACGGCUUACCAAGGCAACGAUGCAUAGCCGACAUGAGAGGGUGAUCGGCCACACUAGAACUGAGACACGGUCCAGACUCCUACGGGAGGCAGCAGUAGGGAAUCUUCAGCAAUGGGCGAAAGCCUGACGGAGCAACGCCGCGUGAGUGAUGAAGGUCUUCGGAUCGUAAAACUCUGUUAUUAGGGAAGAACAUAUGUGUAAGUAACUGUGCACAUCUUGACGGUACCUAAUCAGAAAGCCACGGCUAACUACGUG